rnacentral:rRNA from 1 species
UACGAAGGGGGCUAGCGUUGUUCGGAAUUACUGGGCGUAAAGCGCACGUAGGCGGCUUCUUAAGUCAGGGGUGAAAUCCUGGAGCUCAACUCCAGAACUGCCUUUGAUACUGAGAAGCUUGAGUCCGGGAGAGGUGAGUGGAACUGCGAGUGUAGAGGUGAAAUUCGUAGAUAUUCGCAAGAACACCAGUGGCGAAGGCGGCUCACUGGCCCGGUACUGACGCUGAGGUGCGAAAGCGUGGGGAGCAAACAGG